rnacentral:rRNA from 1 species
UGGAAUGCGCAGAUAUCAGGAGGAACACCAGUGGCGAAGGCGGUUCUCUGGGCCUUUCCUGACGCUGAGGAGCGAAAGCGUGGGGAGCGAACAGGCUUAGAUACCCUGGUAGUCCACGCUGUAAACGGUGGGUACUAGGUGUGGGGUCCAUUCCACGGGUUCCGUGCCGUAGCUAACGCUUUAAGUACCCCGCCUGGGGAGUACGGCCGCAAGGCUAAAA